rnacentral:rRNA from 1 species
GACGGAGGGGGCUAGCGUUGUUCGGAAUGACUGGGCGUAAAGGGCGCGUAGGCGGUUUUUUAAGUGAGGCGUGAAAGCCCUGGGCUUAACCCAGGAGGUGCGUUUCAUACUGGAAAGCUUGAGUACGAGAGAGGAAAGUGGAAUUCCUAGUGUAGAGGUGAAAUUCGUAGAUAUUAGGAAGAACACCAGAGGCGAAGGCGGCUUUCUGGCUCGUAACUGACGCUGAGGCGCGAAAGCGUGGGGAGCAAAC